rnacentral:rRNA from 1 species
UGGACGAAAGUCUGAUGGAGCAACGCCGCGUGAGUGAAGAAGGUUUUCGGAUCGUAAAGCUCUGUUGUUGGAGAAGAAAGAUAGAGGUAGUAACUGGCCUUUAUUUGACGGUAAUCAACCAGAAAGUCACGGCUAACUACGUGCCAGCAGCCGCGGUAAUACGUAGGUGGCAAGCGUUGUCCGGAUUUAUUGGGCGUAAAGCGAGCGCAGGCGGAAGAAUAAGUCUGAUGUGAAAGCCCUCGGCUUAACCGAGGAACUGCAUCGGAAACUGUGAUUCUUGAGUGCAGAAGAGGAGAGUGGAACUCCAUGUGUAGCGGUGGAA